rnacentral:misc_RNA from 1 species
CAGCCGCGUCUCGAUCUCCUG